GUUUUUGUAGAGCAAUGGUUAGCUUGUUGAACUUCUAAUGCGAAGGUCAUGGGUUUCGAAUCCCACCUGGGAUG